GAAAUAAGUUAAUCAAAAUUAAGCUUCUAACUUAAAUUUUUAGUGGUAAAUUCCAUUAUUAUUUCU
rnacentral:tRNA from 1 species